rnacentral:rRNA from 1 species
AACGAACGCUGGCGGCAUGCCUAACACAUGCAAGUCGAACGAGACCUUCGGGUCUAGUGGCGCACGGGUGCGUAACGCGUGGGAACCUGCCCUUAGGUUCGGAAUAACUCCCCGAAAGGGGUGCUAAUACCGGAUAAUGUCUUCGGACCAAAGAUUUAUCGCCUUUGGAUGGGCCCGCGUUGGAUUAGCUAGUUGGUAGGGUAAAAGCCUACCAAGGCGACGAUCCAUAGCUGGUCUGAGAGGAUGAUCAGCCACACUGGGACUGAGACACGGCCCAGACUCCUACGGGAGGCAGCAGGGGGGAAUAUUGGACAAUGGGCGAAAGCCUGAUCCAGCCAUGCCGCGGGAGUGAUGAAGGCCUUAGGGUUGUAAAGCUCUUUUACCCGGGAUGAUAAUGACAGUACCGGGAGAAUAAGCCCCGGCUAACUCCGUG